GAUGAACGCUGGCGGCGUGCCUAAUACAUGCAAGUCGAGCGAACGGACGAGAAGCUUGCUUCUCUGAUGUUAGCGGCGGACGGGUGAGUAACACGUGGAUAACCUACCUAUAAGACUGGGAUAACUUCGGGAAACCGGAGCUAAUACCGGAUAAUAUUUUGAACCGCAUGGUUCAAAAGUGAAAGACGGUCUUGCUGUCACUUAUAGAUGGAUCCGCGCUGCAUUAGCUAGUUGGUAAGGUAACGGCUUACCAAGGCAACGAUGCAUAGCCGACCUGAGAGGGUGAUCGGACACACUGGAACUGAGACACGGUCGAGACUCCUACGGGAGGCAGCAGUAGGGAAUCUUCCGCAAUGGGCGAAAGCCUGACGGAGCAAAGCCGCGUGAGUGAUGAAGGUCUUCGGAUCGUAAAGCUCUGUUAUUAGGGAAGAACAUAUGUGUAAGUAACUGUGCACAUCUUGACGGUACCUAAUCAGAAAGCCACGGCUAACUACGUG
rnacentral:rRNA from 1 species